GAGGGUAUAGCUCAGUGGUAGAGUGUGUGCUUAGUAUGUAUGAGGUCCUGGGUUCAAUCCCCAGUACCGCCA
rfam:Camelus ferus unplaced genomic scaffold scaffold371, whole genome shotgun sequence.